AGUCGAGCGAACAGACGAGGAGCUUGCUCCUUUGACGUUAGCGGCGGACGGGUGAGUAACACGUGGGUAACCUACCUAUAAGACUGGGAUAACUUCGGGAAACCGGAGCUAAUACCGGAUAAUAUUUCGAACCGCAUGGUUCGAUAGUGAAAGAUGGCUUUGCUAUCACUUAUAGAUGGACCUGCGCCGUAUUAGCUAGUUGGUAAGGUAACGGCUUACCAAGGCAACGAUACGUAGCCGACCUGAGAGGGUGAUCGGCCACACUGGAACUGAGACACGGUCCAGACUCCUACGGGAGGCAGCAGUAGGGAAUCUUCCGCAAUGGGCGAAAGCCUGACGGAGCAACGCCGCGUGAGUGAUGAAGGUCUUCGGAUCGUAAAACUCUGUUAUUAGGGAAGAACAAACGUGUAAGUAACUGUGCACGUCUUGACGGUACCUAAUCAGAAAGCCACGGCUAACUACGUGCCAGCAGCCGCGGUAAUACGUAGGUGGCAAGCGUUAUCCGGAAUUAUUGGGCGUAAAGCGCGCGUAGGCGGUUUUUUAAGUCUGAUGUGAAAGCCCACGGCUCAACCGUGGAGGGUCAUUGGAAACUGGAAAACUUGAGUGCAGAAGAGGAAAGUGGAAUUCCAUGUGUAGCGGUGAAAUGCGCAGAGAUAUGGAGGAACACCAGUGGCGAAGGCGACUUUCUGGUCUGUAACUGACGCUG
rnacentral:rRNA from 1 species